ACUGGAAUUGCCAGAUCAUAUGGUAAUAUUAUGUUCAAGCAACUGACUGUUUCCCAAAAGAAAUGUAUCACUUUAUACUUCCAUCAGCAAU
rnacentral:pre_miRNA from 1 species